AGACGAUGAAACUGCUGUUGUCGACCCUCAACUCAGGGUUAAAGGUAUAAAGAGUCUGAGAGUAGCCGAUGCAUCAGUAAUGAGAAAUAACCCUUCGGGCAACACCAAUGGUCCGACAAUGAUGAUAGCCGAAAGAGCUGCUGAUUUUAUCAAAAAUAGCAAGUGACAACAAUAGACGUCUUAUAAAGUUUUCUAUAAUUUAGUUUGUACUACAUGUCAACUGAAUUUUGUUGUCAACAGUAAACAUAUUUUGAAAUUUUAUACUGUUUAUAGUUUGUCAGUGAAUUAUGUUAUCAUCACUACUCAUGUUUUAAGUCUUCUGUCGUGAGGCGUAUUUGCUACUCCAUGGAAUUGCAGUUCCUUGAUGUAACAAAUACACGACAAUUUGUCCACCAUUUACUUCUAGUGGUAGCCAGUGAACACAACUAUUCCUUAUUUCGUGUUAAAUGUUAUCAGCUUAUACUUCAGCUUAACUCUGACAAGAAACAUUUACUGGUACUUACGCAAAAAAAAACGAACACCAAAUACAAUAACAGAUUUGAAUUCUUCUAAUUAAUAUCUAAAUAUGCUAAUCAUUUGUUAUUUGCAUGAGCUAUAAUAAAUAAACUUUAUCAUAUGC